rnacentral:tRNA from 1 species
GAGAUUGAAGUAGAAUACGUCAUUUUUUCGUAAUGAAGGUGGAUAGAAUUU